rnacentral:misc_RNA from 1 species
GUGAAUCAUCAAAUCUUUGAACGCAAAUUGCACUCUUUGGUAUUCCGGAGAGCAUGCCUGUUUGAGGGUCAGUAAAUAUAAAAAUCGGUGUGUUUGCUGCCUUUCGUGGUGUUGCACUGGAUGUGGGUCGUCUUUGCUUCGGCUAAGUUGCCUAACAUUUUGCAUGAUUUUUUUGAACGUAUUAAACUGAUUUUACGUACGUUUGCGAUAUUGACUACCAG